rnacentral:lncRNA from 1 species
UGCACCAGCACACUUUGACGCCCCCUUCAUCGUUAAAGAUGGCUCCGACGAACGUUAAGUGCAUAUUUGCGUUGCACCAUGCCAUCCGUCAGUAAAAGGGUUACGAUUCAUUUAACCGGUGCCAGAGCACCGGUUAACGGCUCGUAUUAGGUAAAUCUAGGAACCAAAAUGGCGGCCAAUGUUUUGAAUUUGUCCCGUAUUUCACGAGUUUAUGCUUAUUUUAAAAUAACUUGAGCUAUUAGCAAUGUAAAAUACUUAUAAAACGUUUAAAACAGUAAAAAUGUGGAAGUAACUAAACAUAAAAAAGUGACAGUGACACACCAGAGUGGUUUUUAAGAUCGAGUGCAGAAUGAGCUUCAGUUGAAUAUACAAUCAGAUCGAUGCUGUAAGAAAUUCACAAGUGCGUCCUAUGAGAUCAAAACUCGACAGCAAAUAAUGAAAACUAUUUGUCGACAAUACAGUCUUUAAAAGGGUCUUGGUAUAUUUGGAAUCACGAAUAAAAUGAUAAAUAUCCUGGAAAAAGUUGUGGAUCCACUAUGACAUCCGAAAUCAGGGCGAGAAUAACGACAAACAUUGUAUAAAAUCCGACCUUCAAAAUCGUAUCUCGCGACAGGAAUCAACUUUCGUUUUAAACUAUACACGUCCAUGAGACAUACGAAAUGAAGUAUUUUAGUGUGAAGCAAAUGUGUUGGGACAAUCUACACAACUUUUAGGCAACAGCAUAAUAAGAUAUCAGUGAAAAAAUGUAAAGAAAAUGUUAUUAUAAUACUUCUGUUCAUAUCUA